GCCAAUCACAGUCAGGGCGAGUAAAAGGCUCCGGCUCAGCGUGUGACCGUCAGAGUGAGUGGUGUCAAAGACUCGCCAGAGAACUUCCAGUCACAAGCGGCGACGGUGUGCUGUCAGCAGUCAGAGCGUUCCCGUAGUACCGGGCCAGCGUUGCCGUGCACUUGUCGAUUCCGACAGUUCCCGAGUACAGUGGGACGUUCAGACCAGGGUGAGCAUAAUCACCGAGAAUAAAAACCUGCCCGACUUUUUCUGAGGUUGUCUUCAUCUGUUGGUGUGCUCCCCCACCAUGUUACCGUCGUUUGGGUUUACACAAGAGCAGGUAGCCUGCGUCUGCGAGGUUCUGCAGCAGUCGGGUAACAUCGAGCGCCUGGGCCGUUUUCUCUGGUCGCUGCCGGCCUGCGAACACCUGCACAAGAAUGAGAGCGUACUCAAAGCCAAGGCCAUCGUGGCCUUCCAUCGCGGCAACUUUCGGGAACUCUACAAGAUCUUGGAAAGCAAUAAUUUUUCGCCACACAACCACCCGAAACUGCAAGCGUUGUGGCUGAAGGCGCACUACAUCGAGGCUGAGAAGCUCCGCGGCCGACCGCUGGGAGCUGUCGGUAAAUACAGGGUAAGACGAAAGUUCCCGCUGCCGCGGACCAUCUGGGACGGGGAAGAGACGAGCUAUUGCUUCAAGGAGAAGUCGAGGGGAGUCCUCAGGGAGUGGUACUCACACAACCCUUACCCCUCACCCAGAGAAAAAAGAGAACUGGCUGAAGCAACUGGACUCACCACUACUCAAGUUAGUAAUUGGUUCAAAAAUCGACGGCAGCGGGACAGAGCGGCUGAAGCAAAAGAAAGGGAGAGUGCAGAGCAGGAGAAUAAGGGGAAAUUAGCAACGCCCAGCACCAGCUCCGAAGAGGACCUCGGCAUGGUGAUGAACGGCAAGGAGAACCUGGGCGACGUGACAGAGAUGGGCGUGUCUGCCGCCUCCUCGGUUCAUCACCACCAUCACCACCAGCACCAGCAUCCUCACCACGCUCAUCAUCAGCAGAGCCUGAUGAUGAGCGAGUUGGGCAAGGCUAACCUCAUGUCGCCCAUGACCAGCCUGCCGCCCGGCGCCUCCGACGUGGCGGGGCUCACACAGGUCAACAUGUCUGAGUCCGUGCUCCAGAACUCGCUACAGAAUUCCAUGUUGGCCCCCAUGUCCAACAAUCUGGUGGAUAUAGGAUCGUAGCGAUGGAGGGCGAAAGAGCCUGCCCGAGCGCCCAGAAACGAGCCAUCAGCCCCCACCAAGAACAUUGUCAACUCCCAGUGAGGCUGUUGAAAGAGGGGGUGAACAGAGAGAUGAAGAAGGCAGCGCGCAAGUGACUCGAGCUGUUCUCCUCUUCGAUUAUUAUCGGCGCUACUUAUCUCUUAUUCUGCAUCGAUGGCACUAUCUUGUACAGCCAUCUCCGAACCUGGGGGUUGGCUGGGUGAGUAGCCUGACAAAAACGGUUUCAAGAAAACGAUGCUCUGAUAGCAUUUAUUGGCGGGAAGACAAAAAUGUUGAUGAAUGAGGACGGAGCUAGACGAGGCUCAUGCUAGGUUGGAAGUGGUUGAUAUUCUCUGUGUACAGUUUUUUUAUUUUUUUAUUUUUUUAUCGGUGACAAUGACAGAGCCCAAACAGCCGGGAAAUACGCCGAGGAGAGACGGCAUGAAUCGGGCGCGCCGUGAACAACAAAAGAGUGGGGGAAAAUUGCGUAGGGAGAUGGUGCCGAGUAACCAGGAGACUCACUGGGGACAGACCGUACAGGGAUGUCCUUAGGAAUAUUGCUCCUUUGUGCUCAACAUACGAGAAGAUUGAGUUCAUCACACUGUGCAUUUGAACUGUUAAGCUGUAAAUGGGACACUUUUUCCGAAAGCCCUGAUCGAAAACGUCAUUUGCGAGAGGGGACUUGCUUUGGGAGUCCCGCAACCGUUUGUUCCAAAUGAUUAUGUUUUGUAUCAUGUAAUUGUUCAUUCAUCAGAUUUGAGGUUAUUUUGUUGAUUGUAUAAUUUUGUAAGGUUUGGCCUCUAGUUGUUUUUGGUUCACUACAAAUAGGCUGUGCAUGCGUAUCGAUCACCCUUCUCAUUUCUUACCGUCUAUAGGACACACUCUGUUUGUCUGCAUGCAUGGGAGAGUUUAUCAUGGAGAGUGCUCAAAAAUUCGAGGUCUUGGUUUUGCAGCAAAUCAGUGACAAUCACAUGUAAUAGAUGCGUCCCCCAUUGACUUGCUGAUAGUAGAAAACCAUUGUUAUCAACGUUGUUUAAUAUUCCCGACGAAGUAAUAAGACCGGCCAGUUUUGUCUUUCGCAAAAAAGACUAUAGAAAUGAUUGUUUUUCUUGUUACUAGUUAAUCAUGUUCGGUCCUGAAAAGCUGUCGUUUCUCUCAAACUAAUGCACUGGAAGUUAAUCAGUCAUUAACAUCUUAAUUGAAUUUUGGAUUUGUUGUUGCAGAAAAGCUAUAUCGACAAAUACGAAGUCAUUGGCGUCACAUAAUAGUGACUUUGCAAGUCUACCAUUUUUCAAUUUCUUUUUGAUGAAGUAUAUUUUAAGCUUACAGAGUAGUAUAUAAGUGCACAGUAGUUUCUUAAGACGCUCGGGAUUCUAGACCUCUGUCGUCCAGGGAACAGACCAUAUCGAGUCAAUCCGCCGUGCGUCUAUGUCUUAUUUAACAUUGACAUGUAACACAGAGACAUGUGUUAACUCAAUUUACAAGCUCCAGAACAAAUCCCUUGCAUGCAGCAUGAUUUAAAACCCAACCACCGCCAAGCGGGACAGAAAGGUGACGUCGAGCCAACCCACCAAUAACCAUGCGUGUCACGGCCAGGUUUUAUUGUCUCCCGGUAGAUAGCGAUAGGGCCAUGUCACACCAGGCCCGUUUUACCCCCUUUGAGGUUUGCUGGUGUAGGAUUUCGACAGAGUUAUGCCAGCCUGUUCUUCCGCGAAAGAAAAAAAUUCCACGUUCCUUAUCAAACAACUCCAGAUUGGACCUGUUGGAAAGAUGCCUUUGCAAAAAUUGUCCACAUACAUACAGAAGGAAAACACUUUAUUACGGUGUUGGCGAAAAUGUUCACCAGUCAGUGUCACGCUGAUAUGCACUGAAUAUUCUCCAUCACAGGCGAAAGUUUCACAAGGUAGGUUCAGCCAUGUUCCUUCCUCCGUGGUUCAACCAGCGGAAUUUAACAAGCAUUGGCACACAAACUCAGCUGAGUGAACGACAUGUGACACGUCAUCAACGUUAUGGUACGCAGUACCUUUUGAGCAUUAUGUCUGUGAAGAAGAAACUUUGGUUCACAUUGUAAACGGUGUGAAAACGAGAAAGACUUGAAGGCAAGGCAAGGAAGAAUUACUCCAAUAAGAAAGUACGUUUAAUUGUUCCAUCACAAGGGAUUUUUCCUAUGCCGUUUCAGUGUAUGCAGAACUCUGUACUUUUCUACUUCUCCAUCCAGUGAUACUGAGGCCACUCAAAUCGCAGGCAAACGAAAGGGCGCUCAGAAUAGCUUGGCAUGAAGACAAAUUUCAGUAUUUUGUAUUAAGAAACUUGAACAACGUGCACAAUAGUCUCGUUACAAUUCGUCUAUGACGGCGCUAACCGUUCGACAGUACGGCGUCUCGGUCAGCUAGAAUUCGACUACAUGCAUACACAGUUAGACUGCCCUAUACUCCAUGUGGACCCUCACAGAUGGAUAGAAUGGGCUUUUAAAUUAAAAAAAGAAAAUCAGGUUUCAUGUGAA
rnacentral:misc_RNA from 1 species